GCAGAAGUGGAUGGAGCUGAGGAGUUAGAAACCUUUGAAUUGGAGGCAAAUGACAAGCUCUUCAUUGAUGAUCUGCCUGAUUUAGAAGAUAUAGAAGUUAAUGAGACCUUUCCAGAAAAUUCAGAUGAAAACAAAGCUUCUUUUCCAAAAAUUGAAAUAAUUUCUGGAGCAAGUGAUGACAGUGAUCCCGAACUGGAGGAAGGCUGCGCAAUGCAGGAGAAAAUGUCCGCAGAUACACUUUCUAAUAUAUUUAAAAUUUCUAAAGAUACCUCAAAGAAAGCCAUCACGCCCCUUACAGAAAUACUGGAAGCAGAAUCAAACAGGGACUUUGAGACCAAAAAUGACCACACAAAGCUGUCAGAACCAUUGAUUCAGGAGAUCAGUAAAAAUCCACUAGAGGAGUCACUGGUGUCCCCAGCCUGCAGUGAAGAAAACCAGCAAACUCUUUCCGGCGUAGACCAGAAUGAUGCUCGGGCUUCACUCUCUUUGCCAGGAAGUGAUACUUCAAAAAAUAAGGUGCAGUUUUUGACAGAGACUGAAAAUUUCAUUGUGCAUGGGAUCAAGGAAGGCAACGAAGACAUUGAAUUUGGAUUAGAUUAA
rnacentral:lncRNA from 1 species